UGCGCGUUCUUUAUUUCAACAAAUCACUGAGCAGUUCAAGGAAAACAGUUUAACGACUGCAGCAGGUUCCUAGAUUCAAAUAAAACCAGACUGACCCGUCUCUAAUGUGGCCAGUAAACUAAUUUAUUACAAUUCUGACUCGUGAGCCUGAAACCACUGACUUCGAAGGGAGCUGAAGGACAGUAAACAGACGCUCCAUCUCUUCAGGUUUCAGAUGGUUUAGAUCAAAUCCAUGUUGCAGGAGCAGCUCAUUUAGGCUCUGUUGAGUGGUUCCUGGGGUCAGAGUUCAGAAGUCAUUGACAAAAUAAGUAAAUACUUUGUAGGAACACAUUUUUGAAAUGGUAAACAUUAACACUAUCUCACCACUGUGCUCAGACAACACUCCAUACUUCUGAGGACCUUUCUUUUGCUCCUGUUGGCUAUUGAUCUUUUCAUCAUGGGAAAAGAAGUCUUUGUUAUAGUCCUUGUAGUCAAGCGGGAAGUCCAGAUCCUGGAAAAAAGAUGAGGUGGAGUGAGGUGCUGCCACACGCUGGCGUGAUGUGGGCUGUGCAGGCGAAGAAAGGAGGAGAGUCAUCAGAUCCUG